ACCGGCGCACGGGUGAGUACGCGUAUCCAACCUGCCUUUACUAUGGGACAGCCCGUCGAAAGGCGGAUUAAUACCGUAUGUUGUCAUGUUGAUGCAUAUUUUCAUGACCAAAGGCUUCGGCCGGUAAAGGAUGGGGAUGCGUCUGAUUAGCUUGCCGGCGGGGUAACGGCCCACCGGGGCGACGAUCAGUAGGGGUUCUGAGAGGAAGGUCCCCCACAUUGGAACUGAGACACGGUCCAAACUCCUACGGGAGGCAGCAG
rnacentral:rRNA from 1 species